rnacentral:rRNA from 1 species
GUCCACGCAGUAAACGAUGAAUGCUAGAUGUCCGGGGAAUGACCUCUGGGUGUCACAGCGAAAGCGUUAAGCAUUCCACCUGGGGAGUACGCCGGCAACGGUGAAACUCAAAGGAAUUGACGGGGCCCGCACAAGCGGAGGAACAUGUGGUUUAAUUCGAUGAUACGCGAGGAACCUUACCCGGGCUCAAACGGCAGAGGGAUACUUUUGAAAGGAGGUAGCCCUACGGGGCCUCUGCCGAGGUGCUGCAUGGUUGUCGU